UUCCGGUUGAUCCCGCCGGACCUGACUGCUAUCGGAUUGAUACUAAGCCAUGCGAGUCAUUGUAGCAAUACAAGGCAGACGGCUCAGUAACGCGUAGUCAACCUAACCUAUGGACGGGAAUAACCUCGGGAAACUGAGAAUAAUGCCCGAUAGAACACUAUGCCUGGAAUGGUUUGUGUUCCAAAUGAUUUAUCGCCGUAGGAUGGGACUGCGGCCUAUCAGUUUGUUGGUGAGGUAAUGGCCCACCAAGACUAUUACAGGUACGGGCUCUGAGAGGAGUAGCCCGGAGAUGGGUACUGAGACAUGGACCCAGGCCCUAUGGGGCGCAGCAGGCGAGAAAACUUUGCAAUGUGCGAAAGCACGACAAGGUUAAUCCGAGUGGUUUCUGCUAAAGGAACCUUUUGUCGGUCCUAGAAACACCGAUGAAUAAGGGGUGGGCAAGUUCUGGUGUCAGCCGCCGCGGUAAAACCAGCACCUCAAGUGGUCAGGAUGAUUAUUGGGCCUAAAGCAUCCGUAGCCUGCUUUGUUAGUUUUCGGUUAAAUCUAUGCGCUCAACGUAUAGGCUGCCGGGAAUACUGCAAAGCUAGGGAGUGGGAGAGGUAGACGGUACUCGGUAGGAAGGGGUAAAAUCCUUUGAUCUAUUGAUGACCACCUGUGGCGAAGGCGGUCUACCAGAACACGUCCGACGGUGAGGGAUGAAAGCUGGGGGAGCAAACCGGAUUAGAUACCCGGGUAGUCCCAGCCGUAAACCAUGCAAACUCAGUGAUGCAUUGGCUUGUGGCCAAUGCAGUGCUGCAGGGAAGCCGUUAAGUUUGCCGCCUGGGAAGUACGUACGCAAGUAUGAAACUUAAAGGAAUUGGCGGGGGAGCACCACAAGGGGUGAAGCCUGCGGUUCAAUUGGAGUCAACGCCGGG
rnacentral:rRNA from 1 species